rnacentral:lncRNA from 1 species
CAGCUGGGUAUGGCGGCAGGUGUCUGUAAUCCCAGCUACUCAGGAGGCUGAGGCAGGAGAAUCGCUUGAACCUGGGAGGUGGAGGUUGCAGUGAGCUGAGAUGGUAUCAUUGCAUUCCAGCCUGGUGACAAGAGGGAAACUCCGUCUCAGAAAAAAAAAAAAGAAAUCAUGCAGCAUUUGGCAACAGGGGUGAAUUUGGGAAGCCUGGGCCGUUCACUAAGGCCAUGCCAAUCACCUUCGUUAAUUGCUGAUGACAAGAGCUAGGAUUUGCAAGACAAAUAUGGCUUAUACUUUAGAGGAAUGGGAUUCGAAGAUGGAGAAAUAAAACGCCAAAAUCAAAAAAAUUUUAUGAAUGUCAUUUCUUUCUGAUAUCAUGAUAAUUCUCAUUACAAUAAAAAGAACCUGUGAGAUGAUUCCAUUUCUGGUGAGCGGAAAGUGCCGAGCGACUCUCCUUCUCAAGGAAGGUUGAGGAUCCCAUGGUGUACUAAAAUCUCUUUGAAUCAGAAAGCAAAGAAGAAGGAAGAAACAUUGGCGUUUUCCCUGUCUCCAGCAUGGCUGUAGGAUGCAGAGUGAUUGAAAAUGGACAUUUAUUAAGAUGAUUAAUGUGUGCCCUCGGUUCUACGAGAUUGUCUGUAUAAAUUGUCUUUCCCUAUUCAGUCUUUGUAAUUUGCGCCUUCUCUAUUUUUCGGUAGAUAUUUUUUGCAUUUGGGGAGGUUUACUUUUUUUUUUUUUUUUUUUUAUAAAGUUUGCCUUUAUAGUAAGACUUUCAUACAAUACCAUUUGCAUUAGACGAAGGCCUAGUCAUGAGAAAAUCACAUCCGUUAACUGACCAGGGAGCAUUUACUCUAAUUAUUAACUCGGAAAAGAGAAGAGCUCCUAAUGGAUAAAGAGCACACGGGACAGCUGUGCAGGGAGCAAGUACCGCCUCCAGGGCUAAGGCAGGGCCCUAGGGAAGGAACACACUGAGAAAAAGCUCCCCACCCCAUGUACCCCAGGAAAGGAUGUGGCGCAGCGCCACUGCAUAUUCUGCUCCUAGAGACCAAAUUGUAAAAAUAACCUGCAUCAACUUGCAUGUAAAAAUAUACUGGUGGGGCCGGGCGCGGUGGCUCACACCUGUAAUCCCAGCACUUUGGGAGGCCGAUGUGAGUGGAUCACCUGAGGUCAAGAGUUCGAGACCAGCCUGGCCAACAUGGCGAAAACCCAUCUCUACUAAAAAUACAAAAUUAGCUGGGCAUGGUGGCGGGCGCCUGUAAUUCCAGCUACUCUGGAGGUUGAGGCAGGAGAAUCGCUUGAGCCUGGGAGGCAGAGGUUGCAGUGAACCGGGAUCACGCCAUAGCACUUUAGUCUGGGUGACAGACUCAGACACUGUCUCAAAAAAAAAAAAAAUACUGGUAGGAGAGAAAAAGAAAAUGGUUAGGACGUCUAAAUAAAAACACACAGAGGAGCAAAAAUAUGCAAAGCUACUUGUUUCUGUAUUGGUCAUGAGGCCGUAGUUGACAUAUUUGGCUUCCUUUGUCAAUGACUUGUUCCGUAUUUCCCCAGCUUUAGCUAGAACCUCUGCUCAUGCUGU